GACGGAAGGUGCAAGCGUUGUUCGGAAUUACUGGGCGUAAAGGGCUCGUAGGCGGCCAACUAAGUCAGACGUGAAAUCCCUCGGCUUAACCGGGGAACUGCAUCUGAUACUGGAUGGCUUGAGUUCGGGAGAGGGAUGCGGAAUUCCAGGUGUAGCGGUGAAAUGCGUAGAUAUCUGGAGGAACACCGGUGGCGAAGGCGGCAUCCUGGACCGACACUGACGCUGAGGAGCGAAAGCCAGGGGAGCAAAGCAGG
rnacentral:rRNA from 1 species